AUGGAGCUGGUAGAAGACAUCUUCACCACCUGCAAGGAUGUGGUAGUACAGAAGCAGAUGGCAUUCAUGCUAGGGCGGCAUGGGGUGCUCCUGGAGCUGAGUGAAGAUGAGGAAUAUGAGGACCUGACAGAGAUCAUGUCUAAUGUGCAGCUCAACAGCAACUUCUUGGCCUUAGCUCGGGAGCUGGACAUCAUGGAGCGCAAGGUGGCUGAUGACAUCUACAAAACACACCUAGAGAACAACAGGUUUGGGGGCAGUGGCUCUCAGGUAGACUCUGCCCAUAUGAACCUGGCCUCCUCUUUUGUGAAUGCAGCUUUCGGCCAGGACAAACUGCUGACAGAUGAUGGCAACAAAUGGCUUUACAAGAAAAGGACCAUGGAAUGUUGAGUGCAGCUGCAUCCCUUGGCAUGAUUUUGCUGUGGGAUGUGGAUGGUGGCCUCACCCGGAUUGACAAGUACCUAUACUCCUUGUACUCCUCCAAGGACUACAUCAAGUCCGGAGCUCUCCUUGCCUGUGGCAUUGUGAACUCGGAGUCCGGAAUGAGUGUGAUGCUGCUCUGGCACUGCUCUCAGACUAUGUUCUUCACAACAGCAGCACAAUAAGACUUGGUUCCAUCUUUGGGCUAGGUUUGGCCUAUGCUGGCUCAAAUCGUGAAGAUGUUCUAACAUUGCUGCUGCCUGUGAUGGGAGAUUCCAAGUCCAGCAUGGAGGUGGCAGGUGUGACAGCUCUAGCCUGUGGAAUGAUCAGUGGGAUCCUGUGCUGGAGAUGUCACUUCUGCCAUCCUUCAGACCAUCAUGGAGAAGUCAGAGACUGAGCUCAGGACACAUUGGCUUCCUCUUGGACUGGGACUCAACCACCUGGGGAAGGGUGAGGCCCUUGAGGCAAUCCUGGCUGCAAUGGAGGUUGUGUCGGAACCAUUCUGCAGUUUUGCCAACACGCUGGUGGAUGUGUGUGCCUAUGCAGGCUCCAGGAAUGUACUGCAAGGGCAGCAGUUACUCCCCAUUUGUAGUGAACAUUUUGACUCCAAGGAAAAGGAAGAAGACAAAGAUAAAAAGGAAAAGAAGGACAAGGACAAAAAGGAAGCCCCUGCUGACAUGGGAGCACGUCAGGAAGUGGCUGCUCUGGGGGUGGCCCUUAAUGCUAUGGGAGAGGGGAUUGGUGCAGAGAUGGCACUAUGAACCUUUGGCCAUUUGCUGAGAUGUGGGGAGCCUACACUCUGGAGGGCUGUGCCUUUAGCACUGGCACUAAUCUCUGUUUCAAAUCCACGACUUAACAUCCCGGAUACCCUAAGUAAAUUCUCUCAUGAUGCUGAUCCAGAAGUUUCCUAUAACUCUAUCUUUGCUAUGGGCAUAGUGGGCAGUGGUACCAAUAAUGCCUGUUUGGCUGCAAUGCUGCACCAGUUAGCUCCAUAUCAUGCUAAGGACUCCAACAAUCUGUUCAUGGUGUGCCUGGUACAGGGUCUCACACAUUUGGGGAAGGGCACACUUACCCUCUGUUCCUACCACAGUGACCGGCAGCUUAUGAGUCAGGUGGCUAUGGCUGGGCUGCUAACUGUGCUUGUCUCCUUCCUGGAUGUUCGAAAUAUCAUUCUAGGCAAAUCACACUGUGUGUUGUAUGGGCUGGUUGCUGCCAUGAGCCCGGAAUGUUGGUUACAGUUGAUGAAGAGCUGUGGCCAUUGCCAGUGUCUGUCCGUGUGGGCCAGGCAGUGGAUGUGGUGGGCCAGGCAGGCAAGCCGAAGACUAUCACAGGGUUCCAGACAAAUACAACCCCAGUGUUAUUGGCCAAUGGAGAAUGGGCAGAAUUGGCCACUGAGGAGUUUCUUCCUGUUACCCCCAUUCUGGAAGGUUUUGUCAUCCUUCAGAAGAACCCCAACUAUGAUCUCUAAGUGGCCUCCGGGGCCCUGAGCUAUAGCUGAUGUAUCAGUGGGCCAUGCUUCCUGCUGCCAGGGCUGGAUACUGUCUCAGACCUUUGAGGGAAUUGUUACCUCCUGUUCUUUUGUUACUGAGUGAGAUAACCUUGUUGAAUAAAGACC